UCCAGACUCCUACGGGAGGCAGCAGUGGGGAAUAUUGCACAAUGGGGGAAACCCUGAUGCAGCGACGCCGCGUGAGUGAAGAAGUAUUUCGGUAUGUAAAGCUCUCUCAGCAGGGAAGAAAUAGCGACCUUUGGGUCGCCAGACGGUACCUGACUAAGAAGCCCCGGCUAACUACGUGCCAGCAGCCGCGGUAAUACGUAGGGGGCAAGCGUUAUCCGGAUUUACUGGGUGUAAAGGGAGCGUAGACGGCUGUGCAAGUCUGAAGUGAAAGCCCGUGGCUCAACCGCGGAACUGCUUUGGAAACUGUAUAGCUUGAGUACUGGAGAGGCAGGCGGAAUUCCUAGUGUAGCGGUGAAAUGCGUAGAUAUUAGGAGGAACACCAGUGGCGAAGGCGGCCUGCUGGACAGAAACUGACGUUGAGGCUCGAAAGCGUGGGGAGCAAACAGGAUUAGAUACCCUAGUA
rnacentral:rRNA from 1 species